UACGGAGGGUGCGAGCGUUAUCCGGAAUCACUGGGUUUAAAGGGUGCGUAGGCGGCGUGGUAAGUCAGGGGUGAAAGCUUCCCGCUCAACGGGAGAGGUGCCCUUGAUACUGCCAGGCUUGAAUUGGGCCGAGGCCGGCGGAACGCGGCAUGUAGCGGUGAAAUGCUUAGAUAUGCCGCAGAACACCGAUUGCGAAGGCAGCCGGCCAGGCCUUGAUUGACGCUGAGGCACGAAAGCGUGGGGAGCGAACAGG
rnacentral:rRNA from 1 species